rnacentral:lncRNA from 1 species
CUCUGAGACACUCAAACUGCUCGCUUAGGUACCACCUCAGCCCAGCAUUGCUAGGCAUUCUUGAGCAGACAGCAUCCAGACAUUCUGAAGUCUCUCUUUGCCAGCAUAGCUGAGGAGGUCAUGGGAUUGCUCCUUCCGCACCCACCGCCAUGUUCCAACUCCGGACAUUUAUUUUUAAUUAGAAAGUUACAGAUUCUGUUAUUUUGUGCUGUGAUAGUAACAUAUCACAGAAACUUAUAUUUUACAGUUCAGGAAGCUGAGAGUCCAAGAUCCAUGAGACAGCAUUUGGUGAUAACUUUCUUGCCGGGUCAUCCCAUGGCAGAGGGUAUAGAAGGGUAAGGGGGCACUAACUUACCCUGUUAUGAAAUCCUAUUCCCACCAUAACAGCAUAAUCCACUUAUGAGGGCAGAGCCUCAUCACCUCAACAAACUUACCUCAUAAUAUUUUUUCAAUGACAAUAAAUUUCAACGUGACUUUUGGAAAGGACACAAAAUCAAAUCAUAACAGCCUUAUUUACGUGAAAUAAAGAUUAUAGUUUUAUAUCAUCUAAAAUUGGCACUACUGUAGAAAGAAUCAUAAACAGAGAUAACAUGUUAGCACAUUUUGCAUGGUGAAAACAUUAGAUGAAGAGAGGCACUUUGAAGAGAAGGGAGACCUAUAAAAAUACUUGGCUAAAAUAUGUACAUAUUUUUAAAUAAAAAUUUGAAUUUAAGAUAUUCUUUAUAAUAAUUCUCACUGAGUUUAACAGGUAUAUCACUAAUUGUAGAAAAAUUGUUUUCCUGAUUAAAAAUAUAAUAUGCUGAAAAGAGUCAACUGAGAAAAAUCAAUAUAGGCAAAUAUUAAUUAUAAAAUUUAUGCAUGACCAGGAUUGUGGGAAAUUCACUGAAGUUUUUAAAUGAGAUCUUCUUUAAAAAUAUUUUCUUCAGAAAAAAUAUCUCUGACAUGAGAUUAAGGAACACAUGAGGUUAAGAAUCUGAUAAAAGAACAUGGAUGUAUACAAAGAGCUAUCAUUCUUCAAGAGUGUAUAGCCAAUAUAAAGAUUUUAUCUUUUUUAAAGACACUUUGGUACUUAUGAACUUUUGGAAUUUUAAUUUGCAUAAAAUAUUUUAUUUAAAAUGAGUUUUUGACUAGAACCAUUGUAGUAAAUAAAACCAUUACUUGUUUUAAAUGGAACUGUUGUUUUACUAGAAUCAUUACUUUUUAACUAUACCAUUGUAUAGGCAUAGUGAGAAAAUAAAGCUAAUCAUCAGCCAAUAUAAAA